rnacentral:lncRNA from 1 species
CCACGAUCCCUUCUCUUUCUUUUUCUUCCAGUUUUAUUGAGGUUUGAUCUCAGUUACUCCCUUACUUGAAGAAGGCUUCGAUGAUUCCUCAUGGAGAAAUCCCAGAUACUUCUGCACAUGAUUCAGAGGUCCCUUACAACUGGCUUCAGCCUGCCUUCCAAGCCCUGUCUCUCGCCUCUCCCUUCCUUCACACUGUGCUUCAGCGAGGUAGGAAUGCUUGUGAUUCACCUUCCAGGUCAAGAUGAUUGGCCCCUCGGCCUUCACAUAUGCUGUUCCCUCUGCUGUUCCCCAUGCUGCCCCCAGGGAGCUGCCCAUCACCCGCCAGGACCUUCCUGCCCUGGGUGCACCCAUAGUGCUUUGUGCCUUUCUCUUUCUUGCCACUUGCCACAUUUUACUGUAGUUAUUUGUUUAUAAUUACAAAUAUAAACCUGCUACUCUAGGAGUAAGCUCUUUGAGGGACCUGUGUCUCCCUGGACCUACGACAGUCAGUGCUUGUGACACUAUGGGAAUAGGCGCCUCAUAGGUGUUCCAUGAAUGAAUGGAGGUGGCUUCAGAUUCCAGCUUUCUUUUUACUAAGCUGCUCUAUCCCUUUCAGAUUUCUUUUUUUUUUUUUACAGCUGCAAAUUUUUAUCUAUUCUUUGCCUCUCUGCCCAGUAGCAAUUAACCAGGUUGUAGCAGAUCUAGAGUUUCCAGCUCAGCCCGGAUUGUGUUUCCUUGCUCUUAGCAGCUCAGGGGAAUCUUUUUUCACUUCACGAAGGAUGCAUCUGAGAUUCAGAGCAGGUUCAGUGACCCUUUUAUUAAUUCUUUGUCUGCUCCGACACGCACAGUCUGU